CUGGAGCGGAGAAGAGGUGCCUCCCGGUGAAAAUGGACAGCCCGGAACGACUAACUCUCCCCACCGGACGGUCCCUGCAGCAUAGAUGGCCUGGACCAGCUCACCCUUCCUUCCAACCAAGGGGAGAAGAAAUGCCUGGCUGUUCCUGGCUUCCUGUGGCAAAAUCAGCCAUCUGUAGGAAGGAAGUAGUUGCUUGCGCCAAUCUAUAGAGGAUGUGUAUCAUGAGAAAACUCCUGGCCUGAUGAGAGAACGGGCAGAGAGAGAUGUUGUGGAUUCAUCGAUGAUUCUUCUGGGGCAAACAGAAGAAGACUUUUUAGAAAGGAAUCUAAAUGAACAUAAAGCA